GUCAGUGGUGCAAUAGGUCAGUGUGUCUCGCUGUUAACCAGAAGGUUGGUGGUUUGAGCCCCCCCAGCGACA
rnacentral:tRNA from 1 species